CAAUAGCGUAUAUUAAAGUUGUUGCGGUUAAAAAGCUCGUAGUUGGAUUUCUGUGGCAAUCGUCCGGUCCGCCCACUGGGUGAGCAUCUGGUUCGCUAGCCACAUCCUCUUGGAUAUCGCGCUGCACUUCACUGUGUGGCGCGUGACGCCAAGUCUUUUACUGUGAGGAAAUUAGAGUGUUCAAGGCAGGCCUUUGUCUGAAUACAUUAGCAUGGAAUAAUAAUAUAGGACCUUGGUACUAUUUUGUUGGUUUCUAGAACUAAGGUAAUGAUUAAUAGGGAUAAUUGGGGGCAUUCGUAUUAACACGUCAGAGGUGGAAUUCUUGGAUUGUGUUACGACGAACUACUGCGAAAGCAUUUGCCAAGGAUGUUUUCAUUGAUCAAGAACGAAAGUAUGGGGAUCGAAGAUGAUCAGAUACCAU
rnacentral:rRNA from 1 species